AAGUAGUCAACUGUUGAAGAGGGCUAACCAAAUGGUAGGCAACUGUAAGGCUUGAUAUUAAUUGUAAAUACUUUGAACAUACUACUUUCUAUCUGCCCUGGAUAUAGACUUUUAUAAAAGUAAAAAAAGAUCAGACACUGUAGAAUACAUGAUGUGAUCUCCAGCUGAAUCAGACUGCUGCAUUUUAGUAGUAUGUUGAAAAAUUGUAUGACACAUCUAUCACCUGUACUUUAGUAAAUACAGUAAUAUAUUUAUUGGUUUUUAUGUUUAUGCUGUCUAAUUAGUGUAAUUUUAGAUGUUUGUUAUAACACCUCCUCUUUUUCUCCUAGCUAUUUGUCAGACCAAAGUUGUAAAAAAAAACAAAAACGUUCUUGAUGUUUUUUUUACAUGAUUAAUAAUAACUGAAAAUUGCUGAAGAAAUUUGCAAAUAAAUAAAAUGCUAAAUGCGUCAGUUGCAUGUGGCAUAUCACUAUGAUGUUGACUCCAAGAGUGAGUCAAUGGACUCAGUCUUGUCCAUUGACAGGAUCUUUAGAUAAUUUUGAGAAGCAGAUUACCUCUUUUGACCAAAUAUUUCUUCAAUGAGUGCAAAACAAAGGAAUAUUGACCUUGACCCUUGACCUUUCAUUUAAUGUCUGAUUGCAUGUUGCUAGUGUCAGUGUAAAGUCCUGACUGAAUGAAAAUCAUUAUAACCUAUUUAUGUCACACGAAGAACAGCUGAAAAGUUACCGGGUUUAUCAACUGCGGUAGCAAUUUAGCUCCAACUCCUCCCCUUGUUAUUUCUAUAUUCUUUGCAUGUUGAAUAAACAUUAAUGUUGUUUCCACAUAUCAUCUCCAAUGUCUGCUGGACUUCAGGUUGCAUCGUAUCAGCUGUUAGAGAUUCCCCUCUGUAAUUUCCCCUCAGAAAGCUCGGAGGAGAAUCCGCGCUUUCUGAUUGGCUGCCUAUCACAUUCACCAGGCUGCGUUAACAAGCCCAGUCGGGGAAAACCCCGGAUUUGGAUCGGAGCGGCAACGAUGAUCUACCAUAACACACCACACAAUCUUAGAAAGACCGACAUUCU